rnacentral:rRNA from 1 species
CUGGUCGGACGCCUAACCUGUGUAAAGCUCCUUCACGAGUCGAGUAGUUUGGGAAUGCUGCUCUAAAUGGGAGGUAUAUGUCUUCUAAAGCUAAAUACCGGCCAGAGACCGAUAGCGCACAAGUAGAGUGAUCGAAAGAUGAAAAGCACUUUGAAAAGAGGGUUAAAUAGUACGUGAAAUUGUUGAAAGGGAAGCGCUUGUGACCAGACUUGGGCCCGGUGGAUCAUCCAGCGUUCUCGCUGGUGCACUCCGCCGGGUUCAGGCCAGCAUCAGCUCGCCGCGGGGGAAAAAGGCUUCGGGAACGUGGCUCCUACGGGAGUGUUAUAGCCCGUUGCAUAAUACCCUGGGGCGGACUGAGGUUCGCGCUCCGCAAGGAUGCUGGCGUAAUGGUCAUCAGCGACCCGUCUU